rnacentral:rRNA from 1 species
AAGAGACAGCAGUAGCCGCGGGAAUACAGAGGGUGCGAGCGUUAAUCGGAUUUACUGGGCGUAAAGCGUGCGUAGGCGGCUUUUUAAGUCGGAUGUGAAAUCCCUGAGCUUAACUUAGGAAUUGCAUUCGAUACUGGGAAGCUAGAGUAUGGGAGAGGAUGGUAGAAUUCCAGGUGUAGCGGUGAAAUGCGUAGAGAUCUGGAGGAAUACCGAUGGCGAAGGCAGCCAUCUGGCCUAAUACUGACGCUGAGGUACGAAAGCAUGGGGAGCAAACAGGAUUAGAGACCCCGGUAGUCCCUGUCUCUUAUAC